CUUCUACUCCCUCCGUCCGGAAAUACUUGUCGGAGGAAUGGAUGUAUCUAGAUGUAUUUUAGUUUUAGAUACAUCCAAUUUUUAUUCAUUUCUCCGACGAGUAAUUCCGGACGGAGGGAGUAUAAG
rfam:Triticum aestivum genome assembly, contig: Triticum_aestivum_CS42_TGACv1_scaffold_435171_5DL